GGAUGUGAGGGUGAUCCAGCUGUGACACAUGUCACCCCGGUGAUCGCCAGGGUUGAUUCGGCUGAUCUGGCUGGCUGGCAGGUGUUCCCUUCCUCCCCCACCACUUCCUGUGCACCUUCCUGAAGCUGCACGCUCGGUCAAAGCGGACAACCAUCCGUGAUAGAGGAGGAUCCAUCUUCCAUCAAGGGUAUACGAGUAGCUGCUCCCCUCUUAGAACCUCCAAACAAGCUCUCAAAGAGGUGGGGUUUUAAAUUUUUGUUGUU
rnacentral:snRNA from 1 species